UUAAAGAGUUCUAUAACUCCCAAACCCAUGUGAACAUACCUAACGUUGCCUCGGCAGGUCGCACCUACCUUGUAGCACCCUACCCUGUAGGGCCUACCCGGGAGGUGCGGGUAAGCCUGCCGGCGGCCCACCAAACUCUGUUUGAUAUUGAAUUCUGAACCUAUAACUAAAUAAGUUAAAACUUUCAACAACGGAUCUCUUGGUUCUGGCAUCGAUGAAGAACGCAGCGAAAUGCGAUAAGUAAUGUGAAUUGCAGAAUUCAGUGAAUCAUCGAAUCUUUGAACGCAUAUUGCGCCCAUUAGUAUUCUAGUGGGCAGGACCGUUCGAGCGUCAUUUCAACCCUUAAGCCUUCGUUGCUUAGUGUUGGGAGCCUACGGCAACGUAGCUCCUCAAAGUUAGUGGCGGAGUUGGUUCACACUCUAGACGUAGUAAUUUUUUAUCUCGCCUAUUAGUUGGACUAAUCCCCUGCCGUAAAACCCCCAAUUUAUCAAGGUUGACCUCGAAUCGGUUCAGACAAACUCGCUAAAUUGAAGCAUCUUAGUCAGCGAAGGAAAAGAAACCAACAGGGAUUGCCCUAGUAACGGCGAGUGAAGCGGCAACAGCUCAAAUUUGAAAUC
rnacentral:rRNA from 1 species